rnacentral:rRNA from 1 species
UACGGAGGGUGCAAGCGUUAUCCGGAUUCACUGGGUUUAAAGGGUGUGUAGGCGGAUAGGUAAGUCCGUGGUGAAAUCCUGCAGCUUAACUGCAGAACUGCCAUGGAUACUAUUUAUCUUGAAUGUCGUGGAGGUUAGCAGAAUAUGUCAUGUAGCGGUGAAAUGCGCAGAUAUCAGGAAGAACACCCGUGGCGAAGGCGGCUCUCUGGGACGGUACUGACGCUGAGACGCGAAAGCGUGGGGAGCGAACAGG